GAGAGAGAGAGGGAGAUUAAAGGUUGCCAAAAGCAAAAAAUCCAAAAAGAGCCAGAAGAAACAUUCCAACCAAAAUAUUAGUCAAAAUGACAACCUAAAAUUCCCAACAGUUAACGUAAAAGGAAGAUUGUCUAUUCUUCCUUGUUUUUCUGUGUAAGAUGAAACAAAAGAUUUUUGCCAAGUGGGAGUGAGCUAAGCGCCUCGCGGGUCCGACUAAGUCAAUACCCGAACCACUAACCCGCCACCUGUUUCAAAUUAGCCGUCCACAGUCUGUUUGUCCACUUGCGGUUCGUUCUUGACUCGAAACCCCUUUUUUCAUCCCUAACCCCCUUUGAUUUCCAAUUCUAUCUGCUAUAUUUUCCUCAUAAUAUGUGUUCAAAAACUAAAACCCAAAAAAAGUUAACUUAGCUAAGUAGCAAGAAUAAUUUCAUUUCCCUUUGAGGCUAUGUUAGUUGAAGCACUGUUUUGAUCCUCUGAAUUGUGCAUGAGAUCAGAUUAUUCACCGUCUCUACUGACUCCACUGUGAGCUUAGCUGUAGGAAGGUUAUUCACCAAAAUUUGGAAUCCAACUGUAAGUAGAGAUCCUUCUCCAUCACCCCCAUCACCAUUUCUUUUUACCAAAGUCCCUUUGCAGAAAUUUGGGCCCCCUUGACCGAUUGAAUCAUAUGGAUGAAUCACAAAUCCUGAUGGCAAGAGAGCCACAUAGGUAGAAUCCCCACCAUUCAUCACCACACUCAUUGACGGUAUGUCAACAGGUGCAUACACUACAAGAGAGCUUGAGGCAUCAUUCCAUGUUUCUUGCAAUAUUAGCAUGCUGUUUUCAUUUGCAUUUGGGCUAACAGCACUUGAACGCAGGAGAGAAACACAAUUCCCACCGCUGUGACCCUUUGAAAUGUGGACCAUUUCCUGCAUCAUCCCACCAUGUGAUAAAAUGUCCCACUCGCUCCUCAGCUGUUCAUCACGCAAGAAGUCAAAUAAUCUCUGCCGCAUAACUGGCAACCAAACAGAAGUUGCAGCACUCAGCACGAUACCAGGUGGUUCGCCAGGGUCAUUAAUAUUCUUUCGGGUCAAAAUCCUCAUAUCUUCACCCACAUUUCCAACUAGAAGCUUAUCCCACUUGCGUAGAGAUGAAGCGCAGACUCCAGAACAGAAGUUAUCCACCAUGCGCUGUGCUAGCUUUACCAUGCUUUUCUUACCACUUAUAUUUAUCACUGUCUGAUCAUCACCAGAAAUGGUUGGCGACGUAAGGAUCAUCACACACUCACAGUACCGCUUUAGGGUGGCAACCCACCUCUGAGCACCAAAGCCCCUUCCAGAACUAAGUACUGAGUGAUAGAGUUGAUGAACUGCACUCUCAUCAUACUCUGAGUGUUCCACCCAGGUAACCUUGGAGCAACCAUUGGGCAUAUCUUGUAUAAUACAGCCUGAAGGAAGUCUCCUGCAAACAACAAAUGGGUGUGAAUUUAAACUUCCUUGGUUUGCAUCAAUAGAAAUAUCAACCACAGCCCAGACGCCCUCUGCAUGCUGCUUGCAGAACCGAAGGAACCUCACUUGACGCACAGGGACAAAAGGUGAAACCACUUGAAACUCUGCGUGCAUCACUUGCAAAGCACCAUUCUUAGUUCCAGCCAUGCCACUCGAAAUUACAUCAACUGUAGAGGCUCUAGCAAUCAGACCCGGAAAUGCUUCUACCCACCGAUUCUACUUUGACAAAAACAGUUACUAAGCUAUUCAAACACUAGAAAUCAAUCAUUGGCACAAGUCAACAUUACGAAAAUUGAUUCAAUUAUAAUAAUAAUUGAAAAAUUUAUAGAUAUACAGAAUAAGUAAAUUGAUUCAGUCAAUGCAAUGAAACCAUCAAAGGAUUACAUGACAAUAGAUUAUAGGUAAACAAAGCUCAUAAAAACUUAAACAUGCCUAUAAUGAUAGAAUUACUAAAAAGUAAAAACAAAUUACAGAUAUCAGAGCCCAGUAGCAAAUUUAUACUUAAAAAUAAAGUCAUUACGAGCUUCAAAAUGGCAUAAAGAGAUAGCAUACCACAUCCAUUAAAGUCUCAACGAGAGCCAAGCUGCUGAUGACUACUGUACCAGUCUCUCUUGUAGCUUCGGUAACAAAGCUGCUGGGUUUCACACCGAUACAAGGGGAAAACAUCCUCAUAUACUCCUCAUAGUUCAGGGCAUCCUUCCCUCCAUCCAAGCUUUUGAUCCAAAGAGGACUAUCAAUCUGAGCUAUUUUAAUCAAUUCAUCCAUAGCUGCCAAUGCAAGCUCUAUAAACAUAGAUCUAUCAUAAGGAACUUCAUUGACCAUAGGACUAGUCAUUGGCUUCAUUAAUGGUAUUGUAAUCCCAUCAUUAUAAUCAAGUCCAAUUGGCAAUGUCGUCUCUAUGUUGCCUAAACCUUCAUAAUCAUACCCAUUUAUCCCAACUGACAGAUCCAACUUGGAAUUUGAGCCAAAAGGAGGGAUAGGACUAGCCGACGAAGAUAGCGGCCUACCUAAGAACUUAUUGGCCAAAGCACAAACACGACCUAAUUCAUCCUUGAGUCGAGCAUUUUCAAUCCUUAAUUGCUGUUGCUCAUAAGAUACCGGACCAGGAACCACAGGGCCACCGCAGCUGUUGCAAAUUGGGUCUGCCAUAUUCUGCUUCAAUAACUCAUUCUCAGCUCGGAGCUUAUCAUUUUCUUGUCUAAGGAUGAUAUUCUCAUGUCGUUCCAAUUGGGUCUUCAUUUGG
rnacentral:misc_RNA from 1 species